GGCCAGGCGCGUGCUAUAAUGCAGUCGACGAACUCUGGUAUUGAUUGGUGCUUGCAUCAUGAUUUACAUUUGAGUGAGUGGCGAACUGGUGAGUAACACGUGGGAAACCUGCCCAGAAGCGGGGGAUAACACCUGGAAACAGAUGCUAAUACCGCAUAACAACUUGGACCGCAUGGUCCGAGUUUGAAAGAUGGCUUCGGCUAUCACUUUUGGAUGGUCCCGCGGCGUAUUAGCUAGAUGGUGGGGUAACGGCUCACCAUGGCAAUGAUACGUAGCCGACCUGAGAGGGUAAUCGGCCACAUUGGGACUGAGACACGGCCCAAACUCCUACGGGAGGCAGCAGUAGGGAAUCUUCCACAAUGGACGAAAGUCUGAUGGAGCAACGCCGCGUGAGUGAAGAAGGGUUUCGGCUCGUAAAACUCUGUUGUUAAAGAAGAACAUAUCUGAGAGUAACUGUUCAGGUAUUGACGGUAUUUAACCAGAAAGCCACGGCUAACUACGUGCCAGCAGCCGCGGUAAUACGUAGGUGGCAAGCGUUGUCCGGAUUUAUUGGGCGUAAAGCGAGCGCAGGCGGUUUUUUAAGUCUGAUGUGAAAGCCUUCGGCUCAACCGAAGAAGUGCAUCGGAAACUGGGAAACUUGAGUGCAGAAGAGGACAGUGGAACUCCAUGUGUAGCGGUGAAAUGCGUAGAUAUAUGGAAGAACACCAGUGGCGAAGGCGGCUGUCUGGUCUGUAACUGACGCUGAGGCUCGAAAGUAUGGGUAGCAAACAGGAUUAGAUACCCUGGUAGUCCAUACCGUAAACGAUGAAUGCUAAGUGUUGGAGGGUUUCCGCCCUUCAGUGCUGCAGCUAACGCAUUAAGCAUUCCGCCUGGGGAGUACGGGCCGCAAGGCUGAAACUCAAAGGAAUUGACGGGGGCCGCACAAGCGGUGGAGCAUGUGGUUUAAUUCGAAGCUACGCGAAGAACCUUACCAGGUCUUGACAUACUAUGCAAAUCUAGAGAUUAGACGUCCCUUCGGGACAUGAUACAGGUGUGCAUGUGUCGUCAGCUCGUGUCGUGAGAUGUUGGGUAAGUCCCGCACGAGCGCAACCCUUAUUAUCAGUG
rnacentral:rRNA from 1 species